rnacentral:rRNA from 1 species
UAGGGAAUCUUCCACAAUGGACGCAAGUCUGAUGGAGCAACGCCGCGUGAGUGAAGAAGGUCUUCGGAUCGUAAAGCUCUGUUGUUGGUGAAGAAGGAUAGAGGCAGUAACUGGUCUUUAUUUGACGGUAAUCAACCAGAAAGUCACGGCUAACUACGUGCCAGCAGCCGCGGUAAUACGUAGGUGGCAAGCGUUGUCCGGAUUUAUUGGGCGUAAAGCGAGCGCAGCGGAAUGAUAAGUCUGAUGUGAAAGCCCACGGCUCAACCGUGGAACUGCAUCGGAAACUGUCAUUCUUGAGUGCAGAAGAGGAGAGUGGAACUCCAUGUGUAGCGGUGGAAUGCGUAGAUAUAUGGAAGAACACCAGUGGCGAAGGCGGCUCUCUGGUCGUGCAACUGACGCUGAGGCUCGAAAGCAUGGGUAGCGAACAGGAUUAGAUACCCUGGUAGUCCAUGCCGUAAACGAUGACGCAGCUAG